rnacentral:rRNA from 1 species
CCUANGGGUGGCUGCAGUCGAGAAUAUUCCCCAAUGGACGAAAGUCUGAGGGAGCGACGCCGCGUGCAGGAUGAAGGUUUUCGGAUUGUAAACUGCUUUUCUCUCUGAAGAAUUCGUGACGGUAAGAGAGGAAUAAGAGGUUGCUAACUCUGUGCCAGCAGCAGCGGUAAUACAGAGACCUCAAGCGUUAUCCGGAUUUACUGGGCGUAAAGGGUCCGUAGGUGGUUCGGCGGGUCAAGGGUAAAAACUCAGCGCUCAACGCUGAGGCCGCUCUUGAAACUACCGAACUAGAGAAUGGAAGAGGUAAGCGGAAUUGCGGGUGUAGUCGUAAUAAGCGUUGAUAUCCGCAAGAACACCAAAUGCGAAGGCAGCUUACUAGUACAUUUCUGACACUGAUGGACGAAAGCGUGGGGAGCAAACAGGAUUAGAUACCCUGNUANUC